UUUCUUUGACAAAACAUAUACUAAAAUUGUAAUGACUCAGAAAGAGGAUUAGCAUGGGUUCUGAGCAAGGAAGACACAUAAGCUUGGGAAAGCCUUCUUAUCUUU
rnacentral:snRNA from 1 species